UACGAAGGGGGCUAGCGUUGUUCGGAAUUACUGGGCGUAAAGCGCACGUAGGCGGGUUUGUAAGUAGAGGGUGAAAUCCCAGGGCUCAACCCUGGAACUGCCUUCUAGACUGCAAGCCUGGAGGUCAGGAGAGGCAAGCGGAAUUCCGAGUGUAGAGGUGAAAUUCGUAGAUAUUCGGAGGAACACCAGUGGCGAAGGCGGCUUGCUGGACUGAUACUGACGCUGAGGUGCGAAAGCGUGGGGAGCAAACAGG
rnacentral:rRNA from 1 species